rnacentral:rRNA from 1 species
GAUGAACGCUGGCGGCGUGCCUAAUACAUGCAAGUCGAGCGAACAGAUAAGGAACUUGCUCCUUUGUCGUAAGCGGCGGACGGGUGAGUCACACGUGGGUAACCUACCUAUAAGACUGGAAUAACUCCGGGAAACCGGGGCUAAUGCCGGAUAAAAUUUAGAACCGAAUGGUUCUAACGUGAAAGAUGGUUUUAAUAUCACUUAUAGAUGGACCCGCGCCGUAUUAGCUAGUUGGUAAGGUAACUGCUUACCAACGCAACGAUACGUACCCGAACUGACAGGGUGAACCUCCACACUGGCAGUGAGCAGCGUUCCAGACUCCUACGGGAAGCAGCGGUAGGGAAUCUUCCGCAAUAGGCGAAAGCCUAACGGAGCAACGCCGCCUGAGUGAUGAUGGUCUUCCGAUCGUAGAACUCUGUUAUUAGUGAAGAUCAAAUGUUUAAGUAACUGUGCACAUCUUGACGGUACCUUAUCAGAAAGCCACGGCUAACUACGUG